UGGUAGUNCACGCCGUAAACGCUGAGUGCUGGGUGUUAGGUCCUUUCCGGGACUUAGUGCCGACGCUAACGCAUUAAGCACUCCGCCUGGGGAGUACGACCGCAAGGUUGAAACUCAAAGGAAUUGACGGGGGCCCGCACAAGCGGUGGAGCAUGUGGUUUAAUUCGAAGCAACGCGAAGAACCUUACCAGGUCUUGACAUCCCGAUGCCCGCUCUAGAGAUAGAGUUUUACUUUUUGUACAUCGGAGACAGGUGGUGCAUGGUUGUCGUCAGCUCGUGUCGUGAGAUGUUGGGUNNNNNNNNNNNNNNGAGCGCAACCCUUAUUGUUAGUUGCCAUCAUUAAGUUGGGCACUCUAGCGAGACUGCCGGUAAUAAACCGGAGGAAGGUGGGGAUGACGUCAAAUCAUCAUGCCCCUUAUGACCUGGGCUACACACGUGCUACAAUGGUUGGUACAGCGAGUCGCAAGCCGGUGACGGCAAGCUAAUCUCUGAAAGCCAAUCUCAGUUCGGAUUGUAGGCUGCAACUCGCCUACAUGAAGUCGGGAUCGCUAGUAAUCGCGGAUCAGCACGCCGCGGUGAAUACGUUCCCGGGCCUUG
rnacentral:rRNA from 1 species